CUAAGUCGAGAAAAAGAGAGCCCCACCCCUUCCGCUUCCGUUUUUCUGCCCUACUCCCGCUACCCUCCUCGCUGUUUUCAUCUUCCUCAUCAGCGUCUCUCAGAGACCUCCUUCAUUUUGUUGAGCCUAAAAGAUUCUUAUAUUUAAGGUUUAAACCCUGCAUAGAUGAUCAUUAUCAGAAGUUUUUGUUUUUCUUCAUGAGAAUCUGAGUUGAAAAGGCAUGCUCUUUUACUCCUUCCGUACCAAACAGUUCACUUCAAAGCUAAUCCCAUGUAAGUCUUUCUCUAACUUCACCAUUAACCGUGUAUUCUCAGCUCUAUCUAACCCUUCUCAUACUGACCAAGAACCUGAAAUAGACUAUUCAAUUUCUACUUUGAAAACUGAAAUGGGACUACCCAAAUUGAGUUCUUGUGGAACUGAAAUGGAAAUACCCAUAUCUGAUAACUCAAUGAAGAUUGCCCCAAUACCUAAGUUUAAUUCUUGUGUAACUGAAGUAGAAGAACCCCUUUCUGAUAAAUCAUUUAAAGUUACCCUAAAACCCAACUUGGGUUCUUGUGAAACUGAAGUGGAAGUACCAAUUUCAGACAAGCUAUUUAAAGAGGCUCCAAAGUUGGGUUCUUUCAAAUUGGGUGAUUCUACAUUCUAUUCUCUUAUUGAGAAGUAUGCUAAUUCCGAGGACUUUACGUCUUUGGAGAAGGUUUUUGGUAGAAUGAAGUGUGAAAAAAGAGUCUUUAUUGAGAAGAGUUUUAUCUUAGUGUUUAGAGCUUAUGGAAAAGCCCGUUUGCCUGAAAAAGCUGUUGAGUUGUUUGAAAGAAUGGUGGAUGAGUUUCAAUGUAAACGAACUGUGAAGUCAUUUAAUUCUGUUCUUAAUGUGAUAGUUCAGACAGGAUUAUAUCACCGUGCUUUAGAUUUUUAUGCUGAUGUUGUAAAUAAUAGGAAUAUUAUGCCAAAUGUGCUUUCUUUUAAUUUAGUUAUUAAAACCAUGUGUAAGCUUCGGAUGGUCGAUAGAGCUAUGGAGGUGUUUAGAGAAAUGCCUACUUGGAAAUGUGAGCCGGAUGUUUAUACAUACUGCACUUUGAUGGAUGGGUUAUGCAAGGAUGACCGGAUUGAUGAAGCAGUUAUUCUUUUGGAUGAAAUGCAGGUAGAGGGAUGUCUUCCUGUUCCAGUAACAUUUAAUGUGUUGAUUAAUGGGCUUUGUCGGAAAGGUGACUUGGCUCGAGCUGCAAAGCUUGUGGAUAACAUGUUUCUUAAAGGGUGUGUUCCAAAUGAUGUGACUUAUAACACACUUAUACACGGUUUGUGCCUGAAAGGUAAAUUGGAGAAAGCAGUUAGUUUAUUGGAUAGAAUGGUGUCAAAUAAGUAUAUACCAACUGAUAUAACCUAUGGAACGAUUAUCAAUGGGUUUGUUAAGCAAAGAAGAGCCACAGAUGGUGUGCAGAUCUUGUUGGCAAUGCAAGAGAAAGGGCAUCUGGCAAAUGAAUAUGUCUACUCAGCACUAGUUAGUGGGUUGUUCAAGGAAGGAAAACCUGAAGAGGCCUUAAAAAUAUGGAAGGAAAUGAUAGAAAAGGGAGUAAAACCUAAUAUAGUUGCUUAUUCUGCUUUUAUAGAUGGCUUGUGUCGAGAAGGCAAACCUGAUGAAGCUAAGGAGAUUCUUUCAGAGAUGAAUAAAAUGGGUUGCACUCCCAAUGCUUAUACUUACUGCUCCUUGAUGAAAGGUUAUUUUAAAACCAGUGACAGCAACAAGGCUAUACUUUUGUGGAAAGACAUGGCAACCAGUGGUAUCACAUGCAAUGAAAUCUGCUACAGUGUACUUAUCCAUGGACUGUGUCAAGAUGGGAAGCUCAAAGAGGCUAUGAUGGUGUGGAAGCAUAUGUUAGGCAAAGGAUUGGUCCCUGAUGCCGUGGCUUAUAGUUCAAUGAUUCACGGCCUUUGCAAUGCUGGUUCUGUGGACCAGGGAUUGAGACUCUUCAAUGAGAUGCUAUGUAGAGGAUCUGAUUCUCAGCCUGACGUAGUAGCAUAUAACAUAAUUAUUAAUGCUUUAUGCAAGGUGGACAGAAUUUCUCUAGCAAUUGAUCUUUUGAAUACCAUGUUGGAUCGAGGUUGUGAUCCUGACAAAAUUACAUGUAAUAUUUUCUUGAAAACCUUAAAUGAAAAAGCAAAUCCAUCCCAAGAUGGGGAAGACUUUCUGGAUAAGCUGGUGCUACAACUGUACAGGCGGCAGAGAAUCAUAGGAGCUUCAAGAAUUAUAGAAGUGAUGCUUCAAAAAAUUCUUUCUCCCAAGUCAUCCACUUGGGAAAUGAUUAUUCGAGAACUUUGCAAACCAAAGAAGGUUCAAGGAGCUAUUAACAAAUGUUGGAGUGACCUUUUCAUCUGAUAUUAGAGGAACAAAAUGCUCUGACGGUGCAUCUUGCAUAUGUUAAAAUAAUUUUCUUGUGGUAGAGCUAUUAUGGAAUUAUUAUUGCUUGCAACUAACUUGGGAUCAGAAUGGUGAGUGAAAGAAAUAUUGUGAGUGUGGUGGUUGCAUAUGGGAAGAUUGCAACCAAGUAGAAAAUGGCAGUGAGAAGUCCAAGGGUCAUUAGAUGAUGCUUUCAUGAUGUGCAGGAGGUUGAAGCAUGAAAAGCAGUAGAAAACAAUUUCAGUGGUUGCAGUGAAUGAUAUUACUGUUUAAUCUGGAUUAAGCGUGAUGGAACUCAAGUCCCAGAUUUUAUUAUAGGUGUAAAAACUUAUGCCCUAGCACUUCCCAUAUCUUCUUCUAAGAUCCUUGAAGUCAUUGGCUUCUUUGGUUGAUGAGCCAUGUCAUAAGUUGCAU